AUUGAACGCUGGCGGAAUGCUUUACACAUGCAAGUCGAACGGCAGCACGGGGCAACCUGGUGGCGAGUGGCGAACGGGUGAGUAAUACAUCGGAACGUGCCCAAUCGUGGGGGAUAACGUAGCGAAAGUUACGCUAAUACCGCAUACGAGCUACGGAUGAAAGCGGGGGAUCGCAAGACCUCGCGCGAAUGGAGCGGCCGAUGUCAGAGUAGGUAGUUGGUGGGGUAAAGGCUCACCAAGCCAACGAUCUGUAGCUGGUCUGAGAGGACGACCAGCCACACUGGGACUGAGACACGGCCCAGACUCCUACGGGAGGCAGCAGUGGGGAAUUUUGGACAAUGGGCGCAAGCCUGAUCCAGCCAUUCCGCGUGCAGGAUGAAGGCCUUCGGGUUGUAAACUGCUUUUGUACGGAACGAAACGGUUCUCUCUAAUACAGGGGGCUAAUGACGGUACCGUAAGAAUAAGCACCGGCUAACUACGUGCCAGCAGCCGCAGUAACAC
rnacentral:rRNA from 1 species